AAUAACUCACCGAGAAGUAGCAUUUUGAUGAUGGAACCCAGAGAUUUGAACUCCCAGUAUCAAAUAUGACAGUGAAUUUCUGGAGAGGUGAGCCAAUACCAAUUUCUCCAUAAUAUUGGGCAUCCAAAUAGUUUGUUAGAGAUACAGUAUCGAUGUCCGAAUCACCCAAACCAGUCUUCACAUAUUUACUAUCUAGUUUACUACUUCUGGCAGCUUUAAUGCUGUCGCGAUCCAACUGCCGUUUUUUCAAACCAACUCUCAAUAAACCAUCAGAGGAAGCAUUAAUAAGAGUGCAUGUGAAAGCCCAUAAACAGAGAAUUGUCCAAAGAUACUUAUUCCCCAUGUUCUACGGAUUCUGUUAAUAAAUGACUAAAAGUUAAAUUGUGCGAAUAACAUGAAAAGAGAGCAGGCUAAUCUAGAUAAUAAAAAAUGCAUACCAAAUACAAAAUGCUAUAACUACAAAAUAGAGUGAUUUUGAAUAAGACAGACAGAAGCCAAAUCGGUUGAGAAUCAAUUACACUAUUUAUCAGGCAAAAAAUAUUGAAAACAAAGCUGCUGAAGGGAAAACAAAGUACUAAGUUAUGAUCAAGGAUCACUAGCAUCACAAACAGUGUAUCAAGAAGCCAAUUCUCGAUUAUGAAAACUCCUGAACAGAACUGGAUUUUAAUGCAUUGUUUUUAGUCUAUGGAUUUUAAUGGAUUGUAUGGGAUUUUGAUUUUGUGCGGAUUCUUGAUGAAAUGUCGUAGAGUUGAUAGGAUUUAGGUACAAUGCUUCAAAAUCCCAUUGAAUUUGAUGGGAUUUCAAAAAACUUAAAAUACACUGAAGAAUGCCACAAAAUCCAUCAUUUUAUGAAAUGAAAAAAAAUCCAUCAGCAUUUGAAUACCAUCAGAUUUUAAUGGAUUUUAAACAAUCCCAAUUGAAUACCAUCAGAUUUUAAAGCAUAAUUUAAAAUCCAAUUGAAUACCACCAGAUUUUGUGGCAUAAUUUAAAAUCCCAAUUGAAUACCUCAAGAAUUUAAUGGAUUUCAAACAAUCCCAAUCGAAUACCCUCGGAUUUCAUGAAUGCAAAAAAAUCCUUUAAAAUCCCAAUCCAAUACACCCCUCUAAGUUAUAUAGUAAUCUUUGAUUAGCAAGUAACACACAUUAAAUGAAAUUGUAUUUUGAAUAGGAGUAAGUAAUAUAUUAACAAUCUCUCAAAAAUUAAAUAUUAUGCCUAUUACCCUUACAAAAAAUAAUAUUAUGUUUGUUAAGAAGAUGAUAGGUUAUAGUUUAAAUAAGUGAAAAUAUUACCGGGAUGAUGAAAUUUGAAUUGAUGAUCAGUAGAUAAAUAUUAAUAUUAAUUAAAAAACUAAUAAUGCACGAGGACUAACUCUAUUCUACAAAAAUGAAGAAGUGAGGUAUAAGUUUCUCAGAUAACCAUAUUGACGUUUACCUUUAUCACAUAAUACAUUCCACGGUCUUUUUUUUUAAAUAGUAUAAUUGUAUAUAUGCAUAUUUUUGAAUUUGGUCUAAUACAUAAAUUAGAGAAAUCUAAGAAUUAAAAUCAAAUUUUAUAAUGUUAAAUAUUAGAACAAAUAUUUUCUGGGGGGGCCAAAUUUUUAUAUUUAUAUAAAUGAAUAGAUAAAAUACAAUUUUUUCAAAAUUAUAUAAUACAAAUUUUAUUAUUAGGGAAACCCUAGGGGGGCCAUGGCCCCUUCUGGCCCCUAUAGCUUCGUCCCCGAAUGAUACAUUCAUCUUAUCUUUAAUGUUUUCUAUAUUUGUCGAAUUUCUACAGACUUGUAAAAAAUCAGUAAGAAAAUUCUACAUUAUUUGUUAUCAUAUUGAACUGACAUAUAUUAAUUUAUAACAAUUUAAAAUAUUAAUAACAUAUUUAUUCUAAAAUAUAACCGACCAAUCUAGUGAACACCGUCAAAAAAUAAUAUCGGAGGAAUUCAACAAAUUUUAGGUAAUGUCCCACAACUCCAAUUUAACCGUCCCACGCCCUAUGAAAAUAUAAAUAAAGUUUUCUACCGAACCUGACUAGAGGGAUACAAACAAGAGUUCUUCAUUUUACGAAGUUUAUUGGCAUUAUAAAUUUCCUUAAGAUUAAAAAUUAAAUAAUUGUUACAAAGUUUAACAUAAGAUUAAAAAAAUUAAAUUAUUCCUCAGAAAACAAUUUAUAUGUUAGUAAAACUUAUUCUCCACAAAAUCCAGAAGUAGCAAACAAUAUAUACCACUACAGAUGUUCAUAGACUUAUUAAUUAUGCAACAGCAAAGUAUAAACUAGAUACAUGGACAAGCACCAAAGUUCAGUAAUGUCUUACAAUAACAACAUAUUACUCAGAUGUUGUGAUUUGAAGAGAAGAUAGAAAGUAUUCUCUUCAAAAGACACUGGAAAUAAUACAUACUUCACCAGGUGCCUUUGGUAUUAAUAACACAGACAAACCGGAAUGUUUAGGCAACUAUGACUUAAUUAGCACUAACCAAGUGCAGCCUAACCAAGUGCAGCCUCACAAACUCGUAGAUGUAGAGUUUCCGAUGGCUGCUAGUUGAAUGGUAGUCAUCAAGUAGAUUCAGCAAAGCCUAGUUGAAGAUUACCGUAGUCAAAGAUGGUAUGAUAUACACCCAUGAAAACAUCUCCAAGGAUCCUGCAGAAUUUUUUCUUGGCGUUAGAGACAAUGGUUUUCUGAAAUGCCAUUCCAGAAGGGAAAAAAAAAAGUCUGUGGACGUAACACUUGUGUGUGAGGACAUCAAUGCAGCAUGCCCUCUUUGACUUUUUAGUUACCUCAAAUUGUAAGAAUUAAAAACUCAGUAUCUAAUCCAUUCGUCGACUUAAAUUAAGUUGAUACUAGUCAAACUAAUUACGUAUAGGCGAUGCCUUGGGUUUUAUUGUGAAGAAAUGUAUAGUAACAUAGCAGAUAUUUAAUGUAUGGGUCCUAUGGGACUUCAUGGCAACACCCUCAAUUUGAGUUGCAGCAAAUUACACGGUAUCAUUUGACUUGAGUUGGGAGGUAAUGUGAGAAAAUACAUUAUACUUUGACUUGAUUCUUAAGCAGAUAAAGAAAAAGAGCAGCAUAAAAAUAUAAACAGCAAUAUUACAUACCACAGCGGGCCUUUUGGAGGUGGCACAUCCAGAGCUAUAAACCCACUAAGACAGACGGUAGCAACACCUUCUCCAGUUUUAAGUAUAUACUGAAACAAAACAAAAGACAAGGCAACUUGGAAAUAAACCACUAAAGCAAGUACUUUUUGUUUACCAAUUUUCAUCUUGACCUUAACAAUGGUAAUAUCAAUCAUUAGAUGCUUUCUCUUAUGGCGCCUCUUAACUUUAGCUUAGCGGUAUAAUACUAAAAUAAACUCUGCCUAGUCAAUGACUAAUGCAUGCAUACAUUGUGUCGAAAAUGAUAAGUAUGCUGGCUUUACGAGAGUAUCACAAUGUGAAAAGCAUUAUCAUCAAAACCUUUAGGAUAUUUGGAAUUCAGGGAAAAAAAAUCUUCAAACCUGUUCUGGGGUGAGACUGAAAGUUUUCUUUCCAAUUGUAAAUGUGAUGUUUGGCAUUUUGGAGAGGCUGUUGCAAUCAAUUACUGAUUCUCCCAUUGGACUUGGAAAACUUUCACAGAGCUGAUAAAACGUAAAUUAAAUAUUCAAUGCCGCACAAACUAAAUCAUAAAAGAAGUUUCAAGAGUUACUUAAAGAGAUAGUCUUAAAUUGAUCACCUGAUUCACAUAGUUAAGCACCGACUCCUUAGUUCCCUUUUGUUUCAGUUGAGUUGAGACCCAAGACACAAGCAGUUCGCAUGCAGUGCAUCCAAGGUCAUCGCUAGAAGAAGCCUCCCCUUGGUCGGCCUUUUCGACAACUGUUUUAAUGAUUGAACUGAAACGAAAACUUCUAUAAUUGUCAACCAUUGUCCAAUAAGAAAUUAUGAUUACAGGAGCAAAAAUAACAUCCGGUCAUGUUAACUGAAUCCACAUAUACAUCAACAAAUUAUAUUUGCUAUUGGGUUUAUAGGAACUUUAUAUACGUGCUAGUGGAAGUGCAACCAACCUAGGGUAACAUUCGCUCUAAGAAUUUGACUUUAAAUGUUAUACAUUAAUUACAAAAUAACCUACAGCAAUCCUCCCAGCCGACAUUUCAUCCAUGAAAUAACAGCCAUAAUGAUUAUAACAAUUGUUUAAAAGCAAAAUUGUGAUCAUAAAAGCUGUUGGGACAUAGUAAAGCCAGAUACUGUAUAUGAAAUAGUUCAGAUAUCCAAACCUCUGAUGUUUUCCAUAUGAGGAACACAAGCCAAUUUGUGAACAUACUACGUCAGGUCCCAACUGUAAGUAACAUGAUAAAUAAAUUAUGAUACUAAAGCUUAACUAAAUAAGGAUUAAAUAUACCAUAUACUUAAGAGAUGCAUGAAAAACAAACCCCUGAUACUAGAAGAUCCCAUAUCAUUUCUCCAUAUUCAGACACAACUUCUUUACAUUCCAUGCUGACUAUUCCUUCUGCUCCUAUGGCAUGGUUAAUUUGGGUCACCACAUUCUGAAGUUGAUAGACCAACAAAGAUUGUUAGGAUUUCUCAACAGACUUUGGUAAAAAAAAAAAAAAAGGCUUUUUUCAAAAAUACCCAAGUUAAAUAUUUUUUUCCCAAAAAUAUGAUGCAACCACAAUUGCAAGUUGCAACUGUUGCAACAUGAAAAGCAAAUAAUUUCAACCAGGGUUGCAACCUCAUAUGCAACUUUGACCUUAAUUUUUAAAAAAAGUUUGAAAACAUAGGUAUUUUUACAAAUUUGCCAAAAACAAAUAGCAGACAAAAUAAUUUCAAUGUGAAAACCACAUACGGGAGGGUAAGACCAGAUAUUCACUAUAAUGAAUAUAUAACAAAAAUGGAGACACUCCCUCACUUAAUUCGUGAUCAAAUCACCAUAUUUGAUGCAAAAAUCUCUCUUGAACAUGUCCUACAAAAAUCUCUAGUCUUCUCAUACACUCAUUGCCAACAAUCAACCGUUUCUAUAUGCACCAUAACUUUUCCUAUCAUAAUCAACUUAGAACCCUUAUGUAUAAUAAUUAAUAAUUACCAACUUCCUCAUCUUAAAUAGGAAUUUUAAUACAAAUUAAUAUAUUUUCACAAACCUUUUCUAUCAUAAAUAAGAAUACAACUCAUAUAGGAAUGUGGGGCAUAUCCUACAAGCACUGCGUGCAAUUUUUUCAAAAAGAUAACUGACUUCAUAUUUUGAGAAUCAGAAGAAAUUCGGAUCGGUUGAUAAAAGGCAGGGAAACUAACAGUUGGACCAGCAAGCAAGGAUGUCCCAGAAUCCACAAUAGCAGAACAACCUCCAUCACAAUAACCUGAGGGGAAAACAUUGGAGACUCAUAAUCUGUUUUCCAACUAAGUCUAAGGUAAUAAAACAAAUAAAGAAAUUAAUUGACUUUUGUGCUCUUAACAUUUAUCACAAAAAGAAAUUUACAGCUUAUUAAAAUGCCUGAAAAUUUAUUGACUAGAUUAGACCUGAACCACAAUAAUAUUCCUGUUAAGACUCCGAAGUCCUGUAUUAGUAUGUUUGGUUUAGAUCACUUAUUCAAACUUUCUAAAUUGGUCAUAAACAUAGCUGGAAAUGUUAACUUCCCAUGCUGCUUUUAACCAAAACAUCUUUUAGAAAAAAGACUAGUAGCAAGUAAGGAUAGAAAAGUGAAUGCUACACAUUAAAAUUUAUCAAAAGUUCACUUUAAAACAAAAAUUAAAAAAUUGACCUGUCGACAUAUUUCCAAUGAGAAAAUCGCCCAUAUCAAACUGUGAAAAGAAAAAAAGAUGAUCAGCUUUAAUAGAAGAAUAUAACAAAAAAAUCAGAUUAGAUUACCACUUCAUCUUUGAACAAUACAAACCUGCCAGUAACCCUUAUCAGUUAUUGGAACGUAAGUGUGCUCCCCCUUGAAAUGUUUUGGGUCAACACCACCAAAAACAAGCUCACCCCCCUCUUCUGCAUCUGCAUCUCGAUUAAGCCAAAAUGAGAAUACCUCUUCCUUCACCAGACCCUGGUCCACCAUAUUGUACCUGCAUUUUGUAGAAAUUUAGAUACAUUAAAGACAGAAGCACAAAACAGGGAAAAGUCUCUCUUCAAGGAUGUAAAGUUCUAAAAAACAACUGGGUCCAAAAUGAUACCAGGGUGGAACCACAUUUCCGACAGAAAUUUCCUGGAAUCCAAGUCCAAGAAUCCCAUCAAAUUUUGCCACUACAAAAGAAAGGCUUCCUUCUUUCGUAGUCUCAAUGAAAACCUACAUUAAUAGUCAAGACCAUCAGACUAUUAAUAAAAGGUCUCAAAUUUGAGUUGAGUGUGAAAAAAUGGCAGACGUACUUGAUCCUUGAUCAAAAGAUCCCCAACUUCGACAUUGUCUUGACUUAGGAAGCCAGAAACUGAUCCUGAUCCAUAAUUUAUUGUAACCUUUUUUCCUACGAUAAAUCAAUCAAACAAUUCAUGCAUUCAAACUAUUUAUAUAUUAUAAGCUUGAUAGAUUUUCUUAUAGUAAACAACUUCGAGACUGAAUGAAGCUUGAUGUCUUUUACCAUUUUCAGUAUAUGUACUAGAUUUCUUUGAUUUGUACUUGGGAUGUAACCAGCAAGCAAUCUGCACAUAAUUUUAUAUAUUAUGUGACUUUCCAAGUAUGAGGAAUGGAAGAUAGUGAGUGUAAGUUUCCCUAAUAACUCACCGAGAAGUAGCAUUUUGAUGAUGGAACCCAGAGAUUUGAACUCCCAGUAUCAAAUAUGACAGUGAAUUUCUGGAGAGGUGAGCCAAUACCAAUUUCUCCAUAAUAUUGGGCAUCCAAAUAGUUUGUUAGAGAUACAGUAUCGAUGUCCGAAUCACCCAAACCAGUCUUCACAUAUUUACUAUCUAGUUUACUACUUCUGGCAGCUUUAAUGCUGUCGCGAUCCAACUGCCGUUUUUUCAAACCAACUCUCAAUAAACCAUCAGAGGAAGCAUUAAUAAGAGUGCAUGUGA
rnacentral:lncRNA from 1 species